ACUGAGACACGGUCCAGACUCCUACGGGAGGCAGCAGUGGGGAAUAUUGCACAAUGGGCGCAAGCCUGAUGCAGCGACGCCGCGUGAGGGAUGAAGGCCUUCGGGUUGUAAACCUCUUUCAGCAGGGAAGAAGCGCAAGUGACGGUACCUGCAGAAGAAGCGCCGGCUAACUACGUGCCAGCAGCCGCGGUAAUACGUAGGGCGCAAGCGUUGUCCGGAAUUAUUGGGCGUAAAGAGCUCGUAGGCGGUUUGUCGCGUCUGCUGUGAAAACUCGAGGCUCAACCUCGGGCUUGCAGUGGGUACGGGCAGGCUAGAGUGCGGUAGGGGAGACUGGAAUUCCUGGUGUAGCGGUGGAAUGCGCAGAUAUCAGGAGGAACACCGAUGGCGAAGGCAGGUCUCUGGGCCGCAACUGACGCUGAGGAGCGAAAGCAUGGGGAGCGAACAGGAUUAGAUACCCUGGUAGUCCAUGCCGUAAACGUUGGGCACUAGGUGUGGGGCUCAUUCCACGAGUUCCGUGCCGCAGCAAACGCAUUAAGUGCCCCGCCUGGGGAGUACGGCCGCAAGGCUAAAACUCAAAGAAAUUGACGGGGGCCCGCACAAGCGGCGGAGCAUGCGGAUUAAUUCGAUGCAACGCGAAGAACCUUACCAAGGCUUGACAUACACCGGAAACUUCCAGAGAUGGUUGCCCCGCAAGGUCGGUGUACAGGUGGUGCAUGGUUGUCGUCAGCUCGUGUCGUGAGAUGUUGGGUUAAGUCCCGCAACGAGCGCAACCCUCGUCCUAUGUUGCCAGCGGGUCAUGCCGGGGACUCAUAGGAGACUGCCGGGGUCAACUCGGAGGAAGGCGGGGACGACGAAGGGCGAAUU
rnacentral:rRNA from 1 species